rnacentral:rRNA from 1 species
CCUACGGGUGGCAGCAGUCGAGAAUCAUUCACAAUGGGGGAAACCCUGAUGGUGCGACGCCGCGUGGGGGAAUGAAGGUCUUCGGAUUGUAAACCCCUGUCAUGUGGGAGCAAAUUAAAAAGAUAGUACCACAAGAGGAAGAGACGGCUAACUCUGUGCCAGCAGCCGCGGUAAUACAGAGGUCUCAAGCGUUGUUCGGAAUCACUGGGCGUAAAGCGUGCGUAGGCUGUUUCGUAAGUCGUGUGUGAAAGGCGCGGGCUCAACCCGCGGACGGCACAUGAUACUGCGAGACUAGAGUAAGGGAGGGGGAACCGGAAUGCUCGGUGUAGCAGUGAAAUGCGUAGAUAUCGAGAGGAACACUCGUGGCGAAGGCGGGUUCCUGGACAUUAACUGACGCUGAGGCACGAAGGCUAGGGGAGCGAAAGGGAUUAGAUACCCGGGUAGUC